UGUGUAGAGGGGAGUGAGGGUACCGUGCACUAUGGGGGGUAACCCUUCCUACUCUCACAGU
rnacentral:pre_miRNA from 1 species